rnacentral:misc_RNA from 1 species
AAGUCGUAACAAGGUUUCCGUAGGUGAACCUGCGGAAGGAUCAUUAACACGUAUCCAAACGUUAAAAACCCUGUGAACUUUCAUGCAGCUCCCGUAACCCGCAAGGAACAGCAAUCCCGGUAAAUCAUUGUUGAACAGUUUUGAUUCGGGACCUCUGUACAGUUACGGUCGUAGCUUAGAGUCAGUGGCAUGGCUUCCCCAAGCAGUAGUGAAAUGACAUUGUCACUAUCUGUGUAAGGAUAACGCCUCACGGUUGCUAGAGGUCGGUCACAGGGCUAUAUGCCCCCUAACCACCCCUUGCACGAAUGUCUCGCCUAGUGGUCACGCGCUUGGCACCAAAACGAACAACUGUUAACAAUGGAUAUCUUGGUUCUC